rnacentral:rRNA from 1 species
UACAGAGGGUGCGAGCGUUGUUCGGAUUCAUUGGGCGUAAAGGGCUCGUAGGCGGUUUGUCGCGUCGGGAGUGAAAUCCACUGGCUUAACUGGUGGCUUGCUUUCGAUACGGGCAGACUGGAGGUAUGCAGGGGAGAACGGAAUUCCUGGUGUAGCGGUGAAAUGCGCAGAUAUCAGGAGGAACACCGGUGGCGAAGGCGGGUCUCUGGGCCGAUACUGACGCUGAGGAGCGAAAGCGUGGGGAGCGAACAGG